rnacentral:rRNA from 1 species
AUUGAACGCUGGCGGCAGGCCUAACACAUGCAAGUCGAACGAGUGGCGGACGGGUGAGUAACGUCUGGGAAACUGCCUGAUGGAGGGGGAUAACUACUGGAAACGGUAGCUAAUACCGCAUACCAUCGGAUGUGCCCAGAUGGGAUUAGCUAGUAGGUGGGGUAACGGCUCACCUAGGCGACGAUCCCUAGCUGGUCUGAGAGGAUGACGGGCCAAACUGGAACUUGGACACGGUCCAGACUCCUACGGGAGGCAGCAGUGGGGAGUAUUGGAAAAUGGGCACAAGCCUGAGACAGCCAUGCCGCGUGGAGGAAGAAGGCCUUCGGGUUGUAAAGUACUUUCAGCGGGGAGACGUUACCCGCAGAAGAAGCACCGGCUAACUCCGUGCCAGCAGCCGCGGUAAUUC